GCCCAGUGAUGAGACCAAGGCGAAUACGAGCUUACUGAAGGAGAGCUGGGUUCUUCUUGCUUUUUAUUGGCAGGUAAUCUUGGCAGUGCAGAGGAGCAUUCCUGCUCUGCUGUAAGGGCCUGCCUACAGUGACUUGGCUCAACCCAAAUUAUUCCUCUAAAGUCACAGCGGAGUAAUUGCUGGGAUGAAGCCGACAGUGUGUUUGUUGUGUGUGUGUCUGUGUGCGCGCGUGCAUGUGUAAAAGGCAAGGAGUUCACCCAGCUCUCUUUGCUGUUCAGGUAGCAAUGAGUUGCUUCUUUGGUAAUCUGAGGGCA